rnacentral:rRNA from 1 species
GACGAACGCUGGCGGCGUGCUUAACACAUGCAAGUCGAACGGCAACGCCCUGCUUUUGUUGGCUGCUCGUGUGGCGAACGGGUGUGUAACACGUGAGUAUCCUGCCCUUUUCUUUGGUAUACCUUCAGGACACUGGGGCUACUACCUGCUAGGAGCUCCUGCUGCCUGGUGGGCGUUGGACCUUUUCGGCGGUUGGGGUUGGACUCGCGGCUUAUCAGCUUGUUGGUGGGGUAGUGGCUUACCCAGCCUUUGAAGGGUAGCCGGCCUGUGAGGGUGACCGGCGACAAUGGGACUGAGGUACGGCGCAGACUGCAACGGGAGGCAGCAGUGGGGAAUAUUGCACAAUGGGCGGAAGCCUGAUGAAGAAACGCCGCGGGCGGGAUGACGGCCUUCGGGGGGAAAACCGCUUUGGCCUGAGACGAAGCGUGAGUGACGGUAAUGGAUAAAGAAGCACCGGCUAACUACGUG